rnacentral:rRNA from 1 species
CCUACGGGUGGCAGCAGUGGGGAAUAUUGCACAAUGGGGGAAACCCUGAUGCAGCGACGCCGCGUGAGUGAAGAAGUAUUUCGGUACGUAAAGCUCUAUCAGCAGGGAAGAAAAAAAGUCCUUUUGACUUUGGACGGUACCUGACCAAGAAGCCACGGCUAACUACGUGCCAGCAGCCGCGGUAAUACGUAGGGGGCGAGCGUUAUCCGGUUUUACUGGGUGUAAGGGGAGCGUAGACGGCAGCGCAAGUCUGGAGUGAAAUGCCGGGGCCCAACCCCGGAACUGCUUUGGAAACUGUGCAGCUGGAGUGCAGGAGAGGUUAGCGGAAUUCCUAGUGUAGCGGUGAAAUGCGUAGAUAUUAGGAGGAACACCAGUGGCGAAGGCGACUUACUGGACUGUAACUGACGUUGAGGCGCGAAAGCGUGGGGAGCAAACAGGAUUAGAUACCCCUGUAGUC